AACGAACGCUGGCGGCAGGCCUAACACAUGCAAGUCGAGCGGACCCUUCGGGGUUAGCGGCGGACGGGUGAGUAACGCGUGGGAAUAUGCCCUUCUCUACGGAAUAGUCCUGGGAAACUGGGGGUAAUACCGUAUACGCCCUUUGGGGGAAAGAUUUAUCGGGGAAGGAUUAGCCCGCGUUGGAUUAGGUAGUUGGUGGGGUAAUGGCCUACCAAGCUGACGAUCCAUAGCUGGUUUGAGAGGAUGAUCAGCCACACUGGGACUGAGACACGGCCCAGACUCCUACGGGAGGCAGCAGUGGGGAAUCUUAGACAAUGGGGGCAACCCUGAUCUAGCCAUGCCGCGUGAGUGAUGAAGGCCUUAGGGUUGUAAAGCUCUUUCAGCUGGGAAGAUAAUGACGGUACCAGCAGAAGAAGCCCCGGCUAACUCCGUG
rnacentral:rRNA from 1 species